GGGGCCAUAGCUCAGAUGGGAGAGCGCUACAAUGGCAUUGUAGAGGUCAGGAGUUCGAGGCUCCUUGGCUCCACCA
rnacentral:tRNA from 1 species